AUUGAACGCUGGCGGCAUGCUUUACACAUGCAAGUCGAACGGUAACAGGCCGCAAGGUGCUGACGAGUGGCGCACGGGUGAGUAAUGCAUCGGAACGUGCCCAGUCGUGGGGGAUAACUACUCGAAAGAGUAGCUAAUACCGCAUACGAUCUAUGGACGACAGCGGGGGACCGCAAGGCCUCGCGCGACUGGAGCGGCCGAUGUCAGAUUAGGUAGUUGGUGGGGUAAAGGCUCACCAAGCCAACGAUCUGUAGCUGGUCUGAGAGGACGACCAGCCACACUGGGACUGAGACACGGCCCAGACUCCUACGGGAGGCAGCAGUGGGGAAUUUUGGACAAUGGGCGCAAGCCUGAUCCAGCAAUGCCGCGUGCAGGAAGAAGGCCUUCGGGUUGUAAACUGCUUUUGUACGGAACGAAACGGCUCUGGUUAAUACCCGGGGCUAAUGACGGUACCGUAAGAAUAAGCACCGGCUAACUACGUG
rnacentral:rRNA from 1 species